AUGCUACAGUCACCAAAACAUUUUGUUAUCAAGCUUUAUCGACUUUAUCCAUAUUGUCAUUAUAUGCAAUAUGUUUCUCUAAGAUACCGAGGCUCAGACACUGCAAGCAGGUUCCUCAAUGGCUGAUGCACAGAAUGAAUGAGGCCCUGAGGGGAUGAAGCCUUGAGUCUGCUCUGCGUGAGGAAGUGUAUCUGCCAGAGGGAUGAGUCUGCGAACUGUGUUUCAAUCUCAGAAUGUGGUGGUUGGAUCUACUGGAGCUCAUAGAGCAAGUCCUGAACAGUCACCGACAGCUCCUGAAAGUAGAGCAGGACCUCAGGAGGAGACCAGCGCACUGGGAACUUGGAGCCUGCAGAGCUGGUGUACUCAUCAUCCAGGACAUACCUGAAAUGACAGGGAGAGUUGUCAACUUGUCAUGAAAGUAGCUCGAAUUACAUAAUAUUGCUGUAAGAAUCAACUAUAGAUUUGAUUUAUUUGUCAGGUAUUUCUGCAGUGUGUGCUUUUUUGUAAAAGUUGCCAGAUUCAAGUACAACAAUCACAGUCGUUUACCUCGACAGUCCAAAGUCAGUGACUUUAAUGGUCCCAUUGGUAUCUACCAAGCAGUUUCUUGCAGCCUGAGAAAAAGAACAGAGUAUGUGUUAUUUGGGCCCAGUAUUGUUUAGUAUAGGAUAGUAGUAGUACCAUGUCAGGAUCAGACCUGCUGUGUCUUUCAAAUACGUGAGCUGCACUUGAUUUAGUUUGAACAAUCAGUGUAUAGUCCCAAAAGGGAGUCAGUGGAAUAGUCCCAAAAGUGGAAAUGGCAGAAUCCAAGCUAUUUGACUUAUAAGUAUGUGAUGGAAAUGUUUAUCAUGUGAAGAGACAGCCUUGAAAAUGUUAAUCUUGUCUUAGUGUCGUAAAUAAUCCUUGGUUCCUGCCUGUGCUUGGUAAAGAUAUGAGGGGAGGGGCGACAUGACCUCCUCCUUAGGACCAUCUGGCAGAACUCCCAGAAUAUGCUCUAUAAGUUAAGAUAGGAGACGGUGCCAGACACAUGCAAUCCUAUGAACUAUAUCUAUGCAACGUGUCUGUAACCAGUAUAUAAGGAUCUAACAGGACUGCCCCAGGUAGAGCUCCUGAUCGACAUGUGUACUUGGUGCAUUGAGUUGGUUGGAACCUCUCCAGCGCGCUGAUAAUAAACAAUGAAUCAUUUAAGAUUGACUUCGAGUGUCCCUGUGUAGAAUUUCCACAACAAUUAUAAUAUCUUACCAGAUCUCUGUG